ensembl:lncRNA
CCCAUGUGUACAUUAUAGCAACAACAGCAUCAGAAGGACACGGAGUACUGUAAACCCCUUCAUCCUACUGUCUGACCGACAAAUCUGGUGACAAAUUAUAUAAAGGCUGAAGUGAAGUAUAAUGGCUGAGUAACAAAAAUGUAAUUAUUGGUUAAUGUUUGCUGAAUCAUAAACAGUUUAGUUCCGUUUUGUUUUUUUCUUUCUCAGAAAUGUGUGGUCUUUUUCAGGUCUAAAAUUAUUUUCCAAAAGCGAAUUCAUGGAAUACAUAUCAGAAUUGGCUACCUGUAUAAAGACAGUGAUUUAAAUAGGCCUAAUACACUAUAACCAGUUGCCAGAGUUUUUCUGGUUGAACCAUGACCUCAAAGGAAAUUUCAUUUGACCUCUUAUUAAAAUCAGUGGUGACCAAUUGAUUUUAACACAUCACAAUCAGUGCAGUUUGAAUGACAAUUAACUAUUCAUAUAGCCUGACAUUUAUAUAAUGUGUAGAUAAUUAAAGAAAUAAAACACACAUUUAAUGGGAACAAACAAGCUGAAACAAUUGCAUAAUUUGCUUGCAUUGUUUUUUUUAUACAGUAACAUUGUACUUAACAGAUUUAAUUAGUGGACAUCAAUUGACUGUAUGCGGGCCAUUCAAAUAAAUAGUACACUAGUUGAAAUGCACAAGUAUGUGUGAUGUAAACACUAAGUAAAAUUUGCUUCUGAAGACUGGAUAAAAGUGGCAGCUAAAUGACUAAAGUUUUACAUAAAAUAAAAAGUGAGUUAUAAUAACGCACACAGGUGUGCUGUAGUAACAACAAGACUUAAACAAAUAGUCUCAUAUUUGAUUAACCUUCUUCCCUAUUUAGUUACACAAUCAAUGGUCUUCAGGCAUGGCGGUACAGUCGCUGGCCAUAGGCUAGAUGCAAACAUGAUAGCCUGAAAGCAAAAAAGAACAAGCAGUAAGUUAUUUGGUAAAACCAAAAAUGCAUCCCCGCAUUAUUUGUUUGCCUUGCAAAUUUAUUUUUUUAGAGCUGACAAUGCCCAGGAUGUCA